UACGUAGGGUGCAGGCGUUAAUCGGAAUUACUGGGCGUAAAGCGUGCGCAGGCGGUCUUUUAAGUCAGAUGUGAAAUCCCCGGGCUUAACCUGGGAACUGCGUUUGAAACUGGAAGGCUAGAGGGUGGCAGAGGGGGGUGGAAUUCCACGUGUAGCAGUGAAAUGCGUAGAGAUGUGGAGGAACACCGAUGGCGAAGGCAGCCCCCUGGGCUAACACUGACGCUCAGGCACGAAAGCGUGGGGAGCAAACAGG
rnacentral:misc_RNA from 1 species